UGCAAAAAAAAGAGCAAAAGUUCCGAAUACCGUGGCUGCCAAUCCAUUAUCUUUCACUUCAUAUUUGCUUAUCACGUGGCUAUCACCACUGAUCUCUGUUUGACCUCCCUCCCGCGCGCGCCAUUCCUCUCU
ensembl:ncRNA ZC21.11 ncRNA